rnacentral:rRNA from 1 species
GAUAAACGCUAGCGGCAGGCUUAACACGUGCAAGUCGAGGGGCAGCAUAGAUUGUAGCAAUACAAUUGGUGGCGACCGGCGCACGGGUGCGUAACGCGUAUGCAACCUACCCGUCACAGGGGGAUAAUCCGGAGAAAUCUGGUCUAAUACCCCAUAACAUAUGGAUCGGCAUCGGUUCAUGUUGAAAUUUUCGGAGGUGACGGAUGGGCAUGCGUAGCAUUAGCUUGUUGGUGAGGUAACGGCUCACCGAGGCGACGAUGCUUAGGGGGACUGAGAGGUUUUCCCCCCACACUGGUACUGAGACACGGACCAGACUCCUACGGGAGGCAGCAGUGAGGAAUAUUGGUCAAUGGGCGCAAGCCUGAACCAGCCAUGCCGCGUGCAGGAUGACGGCUCUAUGAGUUGUAAACUGCUUUUGUACGAGGGUAAAGUGGGUUACGUGUAACCUUUUGAAAGUAUCGUACGAAUAAGGAUCGGCUAACUCCGUGCCAGCCGCCGCAGUAA